rnacentral:piRNA from 1 species
UGGAUGUUCUUAGUGAAUACUUGUGUGUGA